GGUUAGAGAGUAAGUCACGUGACCUAGCGGCAGUCUGAAGGCUCGGAUAUGGUCGCCAGACAACAAUUAUUGGGGAAAAGCAAAUUCGCAGCCCGCGACUGGACCUUCUUGGUCGUUACAACAACAUCAAAGAGAUUUUUUUUUCAUCUUUCCUGUCUGCAUUCUGCUUACCUGCUGCACGCAGGAGAGCGCACGAGCAGACGCCGAUAAGACAAAACAGAGCACAAUCUUCAACAAUCUUCAAGAUGGCUGCUGGUGUGACACUAGACACUAGACACUGGAGUAAUCUCAGGGCUGCAAGGUCAACAAGUUUGAAAGUUCAUAUUCUCGUCAAUCACGAAGAUUUCAAAGAGAUUUAUAAACCUUUGAAGGUUCACGGAUGAGCAACACAGAGUAUUACUGUGAACAUUCAGCGAUACAAAUAAAGCUGUUCACUUCUU